rnacentral:rRNA from 1 species
CCCUUAGAUGUCCUGGGCCGCACGCGCGCUACACUGAUGCAUUCAACGAGUUUUACCUUGGCCGAGAGGCCUGGGCAAUCUUUUGAACCUGCAUCGUGGUAGGGAUAGAUUAUUGCAAUUAUUAAUCUUGAACGAGGAAUUCCUAGUAAACGCAGAUCAUCAAUCUGCAUUGAUUACGUCCCUGCCCUUUGUACACACCGCCCGUCGCACCUACCGAUUGAAUGGUCCGGUGAAGCCUCGGGAUUGUGGCGAGUUCCCUUUAUUGGGAGUUUGUCGCGAGAACUUGUCUAAACCUUAUCAUUUAGAGGAAGGUGAAGUCGUAACA